CACGGAAACAAGAAAAAUUCACCCAAAAGAACUCGGCGACGUGAACCUGGUACAGCAACACCCACAGCGGACCACUGGGACAAGAAAGGUCGCGAGCAAAAACACGGAGCGGCAUGCCGAGACAACGGACUGUUCCCGGUGCGGAGCAACGCAUGACGCCGCCACCUGCCCCUUUCGCAAAUUUCGAUGUCGUGCCUGCAAAAAGAUGGGACACCUGGCAAGGGUCUGCAGAACAACGCCACGUUCGGUGCACUCUCUUGAAGAGAGCACUGGCUUAGAAGACUCCGGUGACUGGGACGAUAAAAGUGGUCUUUAGGUUCCCCUGUACCCAUCGAUGGUGCACGAGAGACGUCUGACGCCGAGCAAGUCGAUGAGCAGGCAGACGAUGCCAACAAA
rnacentral:lncRNA from 1 species